GCAGUCGAACGAUGAAGCCCAGCUUGCUGGGUGGAUUAGUGGCGAACGGGUGAGUAACACGUGAGUAACCUGCCCCCGACUCUGGGAUAAGCCCGGGAAACUGGGUCUAAUACCGGAUAUUACCUUUGACCGCAUGGUUGUUGGUGGAAAGAUUUAUCGGUGGGGGAUGGACUCGCGGCCUAUCAGCUUGUUGGUGAGGUAAUGGCUCACCAAGGCGACGACGGGUAGCCGGCCUGAGAGGGUGACCGGCCACACUGGGACUGAGACACGGCCCAGACUCCUACGGGAGGCAGCAGUGGGGAAUAUUGCACAAUGGGCGAAAGCCUGAUGCAGCGACGCCGCGUGAGGGAUGACGGCCUUCGGGUUGUAAACCUCUUUCAGUAGGGAAGAAGCGAAAGUGACGGUACCUGCAGAAGAAGCGCCGGCUAACUACGUGCCAGCAGCCGCGGUAAUACGUAGGGCGCAAGCGUUAUCCGGAUUUAUUGGGCGUAAAGAGCUCGUAGGCGGUUUGUCGCGUCUGCCGUGAAAGUCCGAGGCUCAACCUCGGAUCUGCGGUGGGUACGGGCAGACUAGAGUGAUGUAGGGGAGACUGGAAUUCCUGGUGUAGCGGUGAAAUGCGCAGAUAUCAGGAGGAACACCGAUGGCGAAGGCAGGUCUCUGGGCAUUUACUGACGCUGAGGAGCGAAAGCAUGGGGAGCGAACAGGAUUAGAUACCCUGGUAGUCCAUGCCGUAAACGUUGGGCACUAGGUGUGGGGGACAUUCCACGUUUUCCGCGCCGUAGCUAACGCAUUAAGUGCCCCGCCUGGGGAGUACGGCCGCAAGGCUAAAACUCAAAGGAAUUGACGGGGGCCCGCACAAGCGGCGGAGCAUGCGGAUUAAUUCGAUGCAACGCGAAGAACCUUACCAAGGCUUGACAUGUGCCAGACCGCCUCAGAGAUGGGGUUUCCCUUCGGGGCUGGUUCACAGGUGGUGCAUGGUUGUCGUCAGCUCGUGUCGUGAGAUGUUGGGUUAAGUCCCGCAACGAGCGCAACCCUCGUUCCAUGUUGCCAGCACGUAAAGGUGGGGACUCAUGGGAGACUGCCGGGGUCAACUCGGAGGAAGGUGGGGAUGACGUCAAAUCAUCAUGCCCCUUAUGUCUUGGGCUUCACGCAUGCUACAAUGGCCGGUACAAUGGGUUGCGAUACUGUGAGGUGGAGCUAAUCCCUAAAAGCCGGUCUCAGUUCGGAUUGGGGUCUGCAACUCGACCCCAUGAAGUCGGAGUCGCUAGUAAUCGCAGAU
rnacentral:rRNA from 1 species